AGCAGCCGCGGUAAUUCCAGCUCCAAUAGCGUAUAUUAAAGUUGUUGCAGUUAAAAAGCUCGUAGUUGAAUUUCGGGGUUAGUAGGUUGGUCAUGCCUCUGGUAUGUACUGGUCUCACUGAUUCCUCCUUCCUGAUGAACCGUAAUGCCAUUAAUUUGGUGUUUCGGGGAAUUUGGACUGUUACUUUGAAAAAAUUAGAGUGUUUAAAGCAAGCUAACGCUUGAAUACAUUAGCAUGGAAUAAUGAAAUAGGACGUUCGAUCCUAUUUUGUUGGCUUCUAGGAUUGACGUAAUGAUUAAUAGGGAUAGUUGGGGGCAUUAGUAUUCAAUUGUCAGAGGUGAAAUUCUUGGAUUUAUUGAAGACUAACUACUGCGAAAGCAUUUGCCAAGGAUGUUUUCAUUAAUCAAGAACGAAAGUUAGGGGAUCGAAGACGAUCAGAUACCGUCGUAGUCUUAACCAUAAACUAUGCCGACUAGGGAUCGGAUGAUGUUAAUUUUUUAAUGACUCAUUCGGCGCCUUACG
rnacentral:rRNA from 1 species